CGGGUGAGUAAUGUCUGGGAAACUGCCUGAUGGAGGGGGAUAACUACUGGAAACGGUAGCUAAUACCGCAUAACGUCGCAAGACCAAAGAGGGGGACCUUAGGGCCUCUUGCCAUCGGAUGUGCCCAGAUGGGAUUAGCUAGUAGGUGGGGUAAUGGCUCACCUAGGCGACGAUCCCUAGCUGGUCUGAGAGGAUGAUCAGCCACACUGGGACUGAGACACGGCCCAG
rnacentral:rRNA from 1 species